UACGUAGGGUGCGAGCGUUGUCCGGAAUUACUGGGCGUAAAGAGCUCGUAGGUGGUUUGUCGCGUUGUCCGUGAAAACUCACAACUCAAUUGUGGGCGUGCGGGCGAUACGGGCAGACUGGAGUACUGCAGGGGAGACUGGAAUUCCUGGUGUAGCGGUGGAAUGCGCAGAUAUCAGGAGGAACACCAGUGGCGAAGGCGGCUUUCUGGCCUGUUCUUGACGCUGAGGCGCGAAAGCUAGGGUAGCAAACGGG
rnacentral:rRNA from 1 species